AUACGUAGGGUGCGAGCGUUGUCCGGAAUUACUGGGCGUAAAGAGCUCGUAGGUGGUUUGUCGCGUUGUCCGUGAAAACUCACAGCUCAACUGUGGGCGUGCGGGCGAUACGGGCAGACUGGAGUACUGUAGGGGAGACUGGAAUUCCUGGUGUAGCGGUGGAAUGCGCAGAUAUCAGGAGGAACACCGGUGGCGAAGGCGGGUCUCUGGGCAGUAACUGACGCUGAGGAGCGAAAGCGUGGGGAGCGAACAGGAUUAGAUACCCUGGUAGUCCACGCCGUAAACGGUAGGUACUAGGUGUGGGUUUCCUUCCUUUAGGGAUCCGUGCCGUAGCUAACGCAUUAAGUACCCCGCCUGGGGAGUACGGCCGCAAGGCUAAA
rnacentral:rRNA from 1 species